AGGCCUGUGGCGCAAGGGUUAAGCACUUGGCUGCUAACCAGAAAAAGUUGGUGGUUUGAACCCAUCCAGCUCUG
rnacentral:tRNA from 1 species